GAUGAACGCUCGCGGCAGGCCUAACACAUGCAAGUCGAGGGAGAAGCCCUUUCGGGGGCCGGAACCGGCGCACGGGUGCGUAACGCGUAUGCAACCUACCUUUCACAGGGGGAUAGCCCGAAGAAAUUUGGAUUAAUACCCCAUAAUAUUAUUGGAUGGCAUCAUUUGAUAAUUAAAACUGCGGUGGUGUAAGAUGGGCAUGCGUCCUAUUAGCUAGUUGGAGUGGUAACGGCACCCCAAGGCUACGAUAGGUAGGGGUCCUGAGAGGGAGAUCCCCCACACUGGUACUGAGACAGGGACCAGACGACUACGGGAGGCAGCAGUGAGGAAGAGUGGGCAAGGGUCGGAAGACUGAACCAGCCAGGCCGCGUGCAGGAAGAAUGCGUUAUGGGUUGUAAACUGCUUUUAGAGGGGAAGAAUAAGGCGUACGGGGACGUUGAUGACGGUACCAGAUGAAUAAGCAUCGGCUAACUCCGUG
rnacentral:rRNA from 1 species